rnacentral:misc_RNA from 1 species
GAAAUGCGAUAAGUAAUGUGAAUUGCAGAAUUCAGUGAAUCAUCGAAUCUUUGAACGCACAUUGCGCCCGGCAGCAAUCUGCCGGGCAUGCCUGUCCGAGCGUCAUUUCUGCCCUCGAGCGCGGUUCGGCCCCUAGCGGGCCGGCCGCCGCCCGGUGUUGGGGCGCUGCGGGCCCUCGUGCCCGCAGGCCCUGAAAUGAAGUGGCGGUCCCGCAGCGGCGCCCCCUGCGUAGUAGUAAAGCACCUCGCAUCGGGUCCCGGCGGAGGCCAGCCGUCGAACCUCUCUUUUGAUGGUUUGACCUCGGAUCAGGUAGGGUUACCCGCUGAACUUAAGC